GCUUAGCUCAGCGGUAGAGCAACGGUUUUGUAAACCGUCGGUCGUCGGUUCGAUUCCGACAG
rnacentral:tRNA from 1 species